GACAGAGGUGCCAAGCGUUAGGCGGAAUCACUGGGCUUAAAGCGUGUGUAGGCGGACCUGUAAGUGCCUUGUGAAAUCCCGCGGCUCACCCGUGGAACUGCUGGGCAUACUGGGCGUCUUGGGCCAACUAGGGGCAGCCGGAACAAGCGGUGGAGCGGUGAAAUGCGUAGAUAUCGCUUGGAACGCCGAAGGUGAAAACAGGCUGCUGGGGUUGUGCCGACGCUGAGACACGAAAGCCAGGGAGCAAACGGG
rnacentral:rRNA from 1 species